UACGUAGGGGCAAGCGUUAUCCGGAUUUACUGGUGUAAAGGGAGCGUAGACGGUGAUGUAAGUCAGAGUGUGAAACCCGGGGCUCACCCCGGGACUGCAUUUGAAACUAUGUUAGCUAGAUGUGCAGGAGAGGUAAGUGGAAUUCCGUAGUGUAGCGGUGAAUGCGUAGAUAUUAGGAGGAACACCAGUGGCGAAGGCGGCUUACUGGACGUGUAACUGACGUUGAGGCUCGAAAGCCAGGGGAGCAAACGGG
rnacentral:rRNA from 1 species